UACGAAGGGGGCUAGCGUUGUUCGGAAUUACUGGGCGUAAAGCGCACGUAGGCGGGUCGUUAAGUCAGGGGUGAAAUCCCAGAGCUCAACUCUGGAACUGCCUUUGAUACUGAGGAUCUUGAGUACGGGAGAGGUGAGUGGAACUGCGAGUGUAGAGGUGAAAUUCGUAGAUAUUCGCAAGAACACCAGUGGCGAAGGCGGCUCACUGGCCCGUAACUGACGCUGAGGCACGAAAGCGUGGGGAGCAAACAGG
rnacentral:rRNA from 1 species